rnacentral:rRNA from 1 species
AAAAGCUCAACUUUAAAAAUCUGGCUGCUUUGCAGUCCGAGUUGUAGUUUCGAGAAAUGUUUUCCGCGUUGAUCCAUGUAUGAGUCUGUUGGAACACAGCGUCAUAGAGGGUGAGAACCCCGUUCAUGGCAUGGCUUUUAAUGCUUUGUGAUACAUUUUCGACGAGUCGAGUUGUUUGGGAAUGCAGCUCAAAUUGGGUGGUAAAUUCCAUCUAAAGCUAAAUAUUGGUGAGAGACCGAUAGCAAACAAGUACCGUGAGGGAAAGAUGAAAAGCACUUUGGAAAGAGAGUUAAAAGUACGUGAAAUUGUCGAAAGGGAAACGAUUGAAGUCAGACGUGCAUGGUAUUCAUUACCUUUGCAGGCCAACAUCGGUUUUGCUAGUCGGAUAAAGGUAGAGGGAAGGUAGCAGUCUCGGCUGUGUUAUAGCCCUUUACUGAAUACGGAAGGUGAGACCGAGGGACGCAGUGCGCCGCAAGGCAAAGGGUUCGCCCUUUACGCACUUAGGAUGUUGGUGAAAUGGCUUUAAACGACCCGUCUUGAAACACGGACCAAGGAGUCUAACAUGCUUGCGAGUGUUUGGGUGUCAAACCCAUACGCGUAAUGAAAGUGAAUGGAGGUGGGAUCCGCAAGGAGCACCAUCGACCGGCCUCGAGAUUUAUCAAAGGGUCUGAGUAAGAGCACGUAUGUUGGGACCCGAAAGAUGGUGAACUAUGCCUGAAUAGGGGUGAAGCCAGAGGAAACUCUGGUGGAGGCUCGUAGCGGUUUCUGACGUGCAAAUCGAUCGUCAAAUUUGGGUAUAGGGGGCGAAAGACUAAUCGACUCAUCUAGUAGCUGGGUUCCUGCC